AGGACGAACGCUGGCGGCGUGCUUAACACAUGCAAGUCGAGCGAGGCUCCUCCUUCGGGAGGAAGCCCUAGCGGCGAACGGGUGAGUAACACGUGGGCAACCUGCCCCUAGCACUGGGAUAACCCCGGGAAACCGGGCUAAUACCGGAUACGACUUCGGAAGGCAUCUUCUGAAGUGGAAAAGGUUACUGGCUAGGGAUGGGCCCGCGGCCUAUCAGCUUGUUGGUGGGGUAAUGGCCCACCAAGGCGACGACGGGUAGCCGGCCUGAGAGGGCGACCGGCCACACUGGGACUGAGACACGGCCCAGACUCCUACGGGAGGCAGCAGUGGGAAUAUUGCACAAUGGGCGAAAGCCUGAUGCAGCGACGCCGCGUGAGGGAUGACGGCCUUCGGUUGUAAACCUCUUUCAAGCAGGGACGAUAAUGACGGUACCUGCAGAAGAAGCUCCGGCCAACUACGCGCCAGCAGCCGC
rnacentral:rRNA from 1 species